rnacentral:rRNA from 1 species
GGGGAAUAUUGGGCAAUGGGCGAAAGCCUGACCCAGCAACGCCGCGUGAGGGAAGAAGGCCUUCGGGUUGUAAACCUCUGUCCUUGGUGACGAAGAAAGUGACGGUAGCCAAGGAGGAAGCGCCGGCUAACUACGUGCCAGCAGCCGCGGUAAUACGUAGGGGGCGAGCGUUGUCCGGAAUUACUGGGCGUAAAGGGUGCGUAGGUGGCCUUUUAAGUUGGAUGUGAAAUACCCGGGCUUAACUUGGGGGGUGCAUCUAAUACUGGAGGGCUAGAGUGCAGGAGAGGGAAGCGGAAUUCCUAGUGUAGCGGUGAAAUGCGUAGAUAUUAGCAGGAACACCAGUGGCGAAGGCGGCUUUCUGGAGUUAAACGGACGCUGAGGCACGAAAGCGUGGGGAGCAAACA